rnacentral:precursor_RNA from 1 species
CAACUAGACUGUGAGCUUCUCAAAAGCAAACAUUUUCACCCUUGGC